UUUUUUUGCAAAAGUCGAAAAUUUUGAUACCGAAUCGUGAGAUUUAACCUUAUUUGUCGAUUGCAAUCAAAAUAUAAAGUAUGUUGCUGAAUUGUAUUGUUUUCGUUCGAAUAUCAUAUGGAUAUUUGAAACAGCGUAAAUCUACUCCGUACUAUUCUAAUGCAAAACCAAAAAUGAAACAGCAAUCACAAUUAUUCUACAGGUGACUCGAAUGUGAAAUAACCGUGAACAUAAUAUACACUGUAAUUACA